rnacentral:lncRNA from 1 species
GUGAAGGCGCUUCUUCCGCUCGGAGGAAAGCCUCUGGCGGUUCUCGCUUCGCGGGCUCGGGAUGGACACGCGCGUAGGGCUGGGGAGGUGACGCGCGGACAACGCCGGGGCGAGCAAACUACAACUCCCAGGCAGCUGUGCGCCACGCGGGCGGCCUACUGUCGGGUGUGGCCGCGAGGGGCGGCCUAUAUAAGCUCUUGCUCGCGGCUUCAGCGCCCUUUCUCCCCGCCGCAUUCCCGGUGUCGACUUACUAGCUGCAAGCCUCUGCCUGCCUUCCUGCGCGCCGUUCCCCGCUAGUCGCUGCUGCUGGCGCGCACUCGCCGGGUUUUUCCUCCCACGGCCUCGAGAUGGUGGUGAAUGUGGCACGGAGGAGCCGGGCCUUCCAACCCGGUGGGCCCGAGCUCCGAAAGGCCCCCUCGGCAGUGAGAGGGGCGGGAGCCCGCGGGGGCCGCGCCCUUCUCUCGCUUCGGACUGCGCAACGCUGCGCUCUGGGCUGACAGGCGGAUAAAACGGUCCCAUCAAGACUGAGAAAAAGCACACCAGCUAUUGGCACAGCGUGGGCAGUGGGGCCUACAGGAUGACUGACUUAGUCUACAGAGAUCCCGGCGUACUUAAGCAGGUAGUAAUGAUGGACAGAUGAAGACUCUUAAGAUGACAGAAGGUGAUUUUUCUGGUGAUCGAGGACUUCCGGGGUAAUGACAGUGAUGAAAUGCAGGGGACCUGGUAGGUUUCUUUUGGAGACUAACUGGGGGCUGCCUGGUGGGACAGAACAGCAUGUUUCCAAGGGCUGUGGCUGGUCAUAGCCAUGGGAUCUCCAACUGCAUGCAAGAGCAACCUGGAAAGACUUUGACAGCGCAGGUUGCCCCCAAGUUUCCUGGCAGUGUGUGAUACUGAGGAGGUGAGCUUGUUUCUGGAGCUGUGCUUUAAGGUAAAGUUGAUCAGCUUAAUCCUCCUGAUCCCUUUCCCAUCGGAUCUGAACACUGGUCUUGGUGGUCGUAAAAGGAGGAAAAGUAAUAGUGAAGCUGGCCUAAAUGUUGUAAUCUGGUAUAUGGCAUGUGGGCUAGUUUCAGACAGGUUUCAGAGAUGGUUGGAUCUCUGAAAUUGUAAAAUGAAGUAUAAUCUUAGGCUAAGGGAAGGAUGCGUGUGAAGCUCUGGAGGUUGGUAUAGUAAUAGCUGACCUAUUACUGCAUUUGGGAGGGAUCUGUCAUAGCUUCCUUGCCUCUUAAUUAAGGGUGGUGUUUUUUUCUUUUAGAUUCAUGUUACAUGUAAAGCUGUCCUCAUUUGUGACUAUGGACCUAUGGAGUUGGGACAAUCUCUAUGGGAAGCAGAAGGCAAGGACCCCGGUCAUUUUAGGUAGAAACAACAGCAUGCUAAUGCAAAAAAUUAUGCAGUGUGCUACUGAACUUCAGAGGUGAUCAAUAAAAGAAGAAUAAAAAGACUAAUAAAAGUAUAUUUGUGUUUGUAUUUUUUUGUAGAGACCGAACUGGUCUCUU